ACCUCCGGGGUGUAGUGGUAUCACGUGUUCUCGGUAUGGAUGAAACGCGGGUUCGACUCCCGUCCGAGGUC